rnacentral:lncRNA from 1 species
AUGGAGGCUGAUGGAGGAGGUGGAGGGGCCACACUGUCCCUCUCACAUGGUUCUGAUGAGAUCAGAUUGUGGACCUCACUGUGCGAGCUGCUGCUUCCACACUGCCAUCUACUGGAUAAAGUGGUUUCAGAUCAAAGCUGUCACAACGAGAUCCUGACCCGAGCUGACGGAGCUGACGGAGCUGACGGAGCUGAAGCUGUUUCUAUUGAAUGUUUUCAGACUUUUAUCUGCCACGAAUUCCCAGAACGUCUCCGUUGAUGUCUGAAACAGAAACAUGGGAUUUGGUUAUGAAGUGAAUCUUAAACUGAAUAUAAGAUGAAUUGUCCACUCUGAUGUCUGAAAGCUGAUCUGGGACCAGCUGAGCUCUGCUCCAGAACCACCAGGUGACCAACAUGUUGUUGGAUCAGACCGAGCUCCCUGCAGCGUCAGCCAUCUGACAAAUGAGACAGUAAAUUAUUAGGAACAUGUUACUCUGUAUCUGCAAUACACCUGUCUGAACUGGGCUUUAACCAAUCCUGCUCAGUCUGUUGGUAAUCACAUCAUACCUGGUGACAAAAAUCAAAGGACUCACCUGCUGUUCAACAAACAGAACAGUUUUUGUUUUUGUUUCUUAUUUAUGUUCUUUAUAUUUUCCUGUUGCUCUUUUCCUGAUAUUUUGAUAUAUUUUUAACGCAUUAACUAAUAUAUAAAUGUUCAUACUAAUAUAAUUCAUAUUUUGUUUUGAAAGAGCUUACCGGAAAUUGUGGGUGCUGGUGUGUCUGCAUUGACGCUAACUUGCCUGUAGAGCGUUUACUCUUUGGCGCCCUCUGGUGGUCACAGCGUGUAACUGCAUAUGUAUUUAUAACACCAAUGUCGGUGAAAAUUUACUCAUUAAACGUUGAGAUGAACUCGUGAUAUUUGCUUUAAUUCUGACAUCAUAAUAAAGUAUAAAACAUCCGUAAAUGUAAUUUUAAUAAAAGUAAAAAAAUAUGGAGUUGUAGUUACAAUCUGUGACCACCAGAGGGCAGUGUGCAUCUGCCAUGCUGCCACUGUCAAGAUAGACACGGUAGCAUACGAUCUCUUCCGGUACAGACCAUCAAAAUAAAAGUUCCUACUCUGACAGGAAAUACUUUUGCUCUCCACACAAACUGUUUCUGACAAAAAGCAGAAUAUAUUCUCUUCAAAAGUGUAUCAUCAUUAUUUUCACGUAUCUGUUGUUCUUGUUGCAGUUGUUGUUGUUCUCUCGAUUUUGUUUUAAG